ACGCUGGCGGCGGGCCUAACACAUGCAAGUCGAGCGGCAGCACAGGUACUUGUACCGGGUGGCGAGCGGCGGACGGGUGAGUAAUGCCUAGGAAUCUGCCUGGUAGUGGGGGAUAACGCUCGGAAACGGACGCUAAUACCGCAUACGUCCUACGGGAGAAAGCAGGGGACCUUCGGGCCUUGCGCUAUCAGAUGAGCCUAGGUCGGAUUAGCUGGUUGGUGGGGUAAUGGCUCACCAAGGCGACGAUCCGUAACUGGUCUGAGAGGAUGAUCAGUCACACUGGAACUGAGACACGGUCCAGACUCCUACGGGAGGCAGCAGUGGGGAAUAUUGGACAAUGGGCGCAAGCCUGAUCCAGCCAUGCCGCGUGUGUGAAGAAGGUCUUCGGAUUGUAAAGCACUUUAAGUUGGGAGGAAGGGCCGUUACCUAAUACGUGAUGGUUUUGACGUUACCGACAGAAUAAGCACCGGCUAACUCUGUGCCAGCAGCCGCGGUAAUACAGAGGGUGCAAGCGUUAAUCGGAAUUACUGGGCGUAAAGCGCGCGUAGGUGGUUUGUCAAGUUGAAUGUGAAAGCCCCGGGCUCAACCUGGGAACUGCAUGCAAAACUGGCAG
rnacentral:rRNA from 1 species